CACGUAGUUAGCCGGGGCUUCUUAGUCAGGUACCGUCAUUAUCUUCCCUGCUGAUAGAGCUUUACAUACCGAAAUACUUCUUCACUCACGCGGCGUCGCUGCAUCAGGGCUCCCCCCAUUGUGCAAUAUUCCCCACUGCUGCCUCCCGUAGGAGUCUGGGCCGUGUCUCAGUCCCAAUGUGGCCGUUCACUCUCUCAAGCCGGCUACUGAUCGUCGCCUUGGUAAGCCGUUACCUUACCAACCAGCUAAUCAGACGCGGGUCCAUCCCAUAGCGAUAAAUCUUUACAAAACAGGACCAUGCGGUCCCGCUUUCCCAUGCGGUAUUAGCAGCCGUUUCCAGCUGUUCGUCCCCCUCUAUGGGGCAGGUUACCCACGCGUUACUCACCCGUCCGCCACUCAGUCAUCCCAUAUCGCUUCCCUUCCCCAGCAAGCUGGUUCUGUCUGGCGGGUGGAUGCUUCGUUCGACUUGCUAGUGUGUUAGGCACGGCCGCCAGCGUUC
rnacentral:rRNA from 1 species